rnacentral:tRNA from 1 species
ACUAUUUUGGCAGAAAAGUGUAAUGAUUUUAGAAGUCAUGAAUGUAUAAUUAAAUUAUAUAGAUAGUA